GCGUUCUGUGGAAAGUGGUGGGAGUUUAAGAGGAAUCUCGUAUUUCUCUUCCAAUCUACUCUUCGUAUUUUGUAUUAUUAAAGUUGUGUUUGUUAGUGGACACAGAAACACUUAUCUGUCGGUGGCUUUUUAUCUUUUACUAACAUUUUUUUCGGUGUUUCAAAAAGUUUUGAUUUCGUUUAAGUGUUUAGUGUUAUACGUUAUUCAUAAUUACUUAUAGUUUAGUGAACUUACUGAGUACUUUGUAGGAAUUAGCAGUUAACAGAAGGAUAUUUUUCUAGUGGAUAUCCACCGAAGAGAUAAGCGCAUCUGGUCUAAUUUGACCGGACUAAUAGAAGGUUUCAAAAGGAAUAUUUUCCUAUUUUGGUUAUAUUUUCCAUUGAUGCCUCAUCGUUUUAACAUUUAACAAGUUUUUAAAUUAUUGUGUGAAUAAAUG